rnacentral:tRNA from 1 species
GGGGUUGUGACUCAGUGGUAGAGUACUUGUUUUGCAAAUGAGAGACACUGGUGUUUGAUCCUCAGCACCA